rnacentral:lncRNA from 1 species
UGGGCUGUGGUUUUCUAUUUGGCAAUAGUGCAGCUUAAAUGAAUGUAUGCUGUCCCUCCAGCUCCCCUGUCCAGCCCAGACCUGGUUUGUGCUGCAGCCACAAACAGCAGCACCAGCACAACAUGGGGCCUUCUCCUUCUGCAGCUCACUGCUUGGAAAGAUUUCAGGAGUGCUUCUGUCCCAUUUUAAGCCCUACAGUUCAGCAGCCAAAUAUAAAGAAAUCAGAUGAAUCUGGACAGCGUGAGGCCCUGAAAUGCUGUCUUGGAUUUUCACACCAGUAAGGCAAAGAAACAGGAGUGUCCAUGCAAAUCCACAAGCGUGUGUUUGACUUCUCUGUUAGUGCUGUUUCCCCCCCGGGCUGCCGGGGCCGAGCCGAGGCAGAGGGACCCGUGAGGAUGUGCGUGGUGGUCCCGCACCGCCCGUCCCGCAGCCCCGUCCCGGCUCUUCCUGCCCGAGGGAAGCAGCAGCGGAUCCCCACCCGCUUCGCAGUGAGUUCGCCUGGCCUUGGAGUUCUCUUUGCCUCCAGGCAAAGGCUCCUGUCUAAACCGCGCCAUGAAAAUAAAACACAGAGGGAGAGAAGGAGGGGAAGUUGUGUUUCCCAAAACUGAAAGACAGUAAAAAAAGGUCGUCAAAAAUAUCCAGAUGAAGACAGUAAAGGAAGAACAUCAACAACUUUAGGGACGGGAUUCUAAGAGCGAAAAUGGUUUCAGGCUAAAAUGACAUUAAAAAUCACGAGGGCACGUUUUCUUCGCAGCGCGGCUUUCACACACGAGCAUAUAACACACAUGAGAAAACACGUUUUAAGAAUUGAACUUACCCCCGCCUGCCAAAUCCUCCCAACUUGUGGGACUGUUCCUUAGCGCUGCACACAACCUGGUCCUCCAAGCCCUGCGUUAAGCACUGCUGAUACAGUGGAACAGGAAUAAAAUUGAAAAGAAAAGUUUUUGUCA